UACGGAGGAUGCGAGCGUUAUCCGGAUUUAUUGGGUUUAAAGGGUGCGUAGGCGGCGCAGCAAGUCAGCGGUGAAAUGCAAGGGCUUAACCCUUGACGUGCCGUUGAAACUGUCGUGCUAGAAUGCGGAUGCUGUGGGAGGAAUGUGUAGUGUAGCGGUGAAAUGCAUAGAUAUUACACAGAACACCGAUUGCGAAGGCAUCUCACAAAUCCGCGAUUGACGCUGAGGCACGAAAGUGCGGGGAU
rnacentral:rRNA from 1 species